CCUCACAUUCAGGAUAGCAUUGCCAUGCUCCAUCCACCCUGUUAUCUAGUCUAACCCCCAUACAGACCAUUCCUUAGAUAGUAUACUACUAAUGACCAGGGCCAUGCUCCAUCCACCCUGUUAUCUAGUCUAACCCCAUACAGACCAUUCCUUAUAUAGUAUACUACUAAUGACCAGGGCCAUGCUCCAUCCACCCUGUUAUCUAGUCUAACCCCCAUACAGACCAUUCCUUAUAUAGUAUACUACUAAUGACCAGGGCCAUGCUCCAUCCACCCUGUUAUCUAGUCUAACCCCCAUACAGACCAUUCCUUAUAUAGUAUACUACUAAUGACCAGGGCCAUGCUCCAUCCACCCUGUUAUCUAGUCUAACCCCAUACAGACCAUUCCUUAUAUAGUAUACUACUAAUGACCAGGGCCAUGCUCCAUCCACCCUGUUAUCUAGUCUAACCCCCAUACAGACCAUUCCUUAUAUAGUAUACUACUCAUGACCAAUACUACUUUAGACCAGGGCCCGGCUAGUGCAGUAUAUUGUAUACUACUAAUGACCAGGGACCGGCUAGUACAGUAUAUAGUAUACUACUUUUGACCAGGGACCAGCUUGGGCAGUAUAUAGUAUACAUAGUAUACUACUUUUGACCAGGGCCCAGCUUGGGCAGUAUAUAGUAUACAUAGUUUACUACUUUUGACUAGGGACCGGCUAGUACAGUAUAUAGUAUAUUACUAAUGACCAGGGACCGGCUAGUACAGUAUAUAGUAUACUACUAAUGACCAGGGACCGAUAGUACAGUAUAUAGUAUACUACUAAUGACCAGGGACCGGCUAGUACAGUAUAUAGUAUACUACUUUUGACCAGGUACCGGCUAGUACAGUAUAUAGUAUACUACUAAUGACCAGGGACCGGCUAGUACAGUAUAUAGUAUACUACUUUUGACCAGGGACCAGCUUGGGCAGUAUAUAGUAUACAUAGUUUACUACUUUUGACUAGGGACCGGCUAGUACAGUAUAUAGUAUAUUACUAAUGACCAGGGACCGGCUAGUACAGUAUAUAGUAUACUACUAAUGACCAGGGACCGAUAGUACAGUAUAUAGUAUACUACUAAUGACCAGGGACCGGCUAGUACAGUAUAUAGUAUACUACUUUUGACCAGGGACCAGCUUGGGCAGUAUAUAGUAUACAUAGUAUACUACUUUUGACCAGGGCCCAGCUUGGGCAGUAUAUAGUAUACAUAGUUUACUACUUUUGACUAGGGACCGGCUAGUACAGUAUAUAGUAUAUUACUAAUGACCAGGGACCGGCUAGUACAGUAUAUAGUAUACUACUAAUGACCAGGGACCGAUAGUACAGUAUAUAGUAUACUACUAAUGACCAGGGACCGGCUAGUACAGUAUAUAGUAUACUACUUUUGACCAGGUACCGGCUAGUACAUUAUAUAGUAUACUACUAAUGACCAGGGACUGAAUAGUACAGUAUACUGUACAGGAAGAGCAUGCCAUUUCAGACAGCGACAUGAGUUGACAUGUAUAGUAUAGUACUAGUAUAGCAACAACACAACAGUCUAUAUAGACCAUAAUGAGGAGACAACAGUCUAUAUAGACCCUAGUGAGGAGACAACAGUCUAUAUAGACCAUAAUGAGGAGACAACAGUCUAUAUAGACCAUAAUGAGGAGACAACAGUCUAUAUAGACCCUAGUGAGGAGACAACAGUCUAUAUAGACCAUAAUGAGGAGACAACAGUCUAUAUAGACCCUAGUGAGGAGACAACAGUCUAUAUAGACCCUAGUGAGGAGACAACAGUCUAUAUAGACCAUAAUGAUUAGACAACAGUCUAUAUAGACCCUAAUGAGGAGACAACAGUCUAUAUAGACCCUAAUGAGGAGACAACAGUCUAUAUAGACCCUAAUGAGGAGACAACAGUCUAUAUAGACCCUAAUGAGAAGACAACAGUCUAUAUAGACCCUAAUGAGGAGACAACAGUCUAUAUAGACCCUAAUGAGGAGACAACAGUCUAUAUAGACCCUAAUGAGGAGACAACAGUCUAUAUAGACCCUAAUGAGAAGACAACAGUCUAUAUAGACCCUAAUGAGGAGACAACAGUCUAUAUAGACCCUAAUGAGGAGACAACAGUCUAUAUAGACCCUAAUGAGACAACAGUCUAUAUAGACCAUAAUGAGGAGACAACAGUCUAUAUAGACCAUAGUGAGGAGACAACAGUCUAUAUAGACCAUAAUGAGGAGACAACAGUCUAUAUAGACCAUAAUGAGAAAAAUAUAAUAUGUAUAUUUUAUGGCUCCUUUUUGGUUUAUUUUCUUGAAACCUUUCUUGAUGAUUGUAGCCUUGAGGUGUCUGUCAGAGAAGUAGGCAGCUCUGUUGUCCCUGGGUGUGUCCCAAUUGCUACCCUAUUCCAUAUGUAGUGCACUCCUUUUGACCAGAGCCUUUGCCUUUAAAGUAGUGCACUAUGCAGGGAAUAGGGUUCCAUUUGGGACAAAGUCCCUGUGUUACCAAACAGGGCUGACGGUAGAGCUGGUUACCGUCCCUGGCUAGCAGAAUUAAUCAUCAUUUACUGUCAUUUAGCUCACGUUGUUUUAGUGUGCAGCUUACUCAUUACUUCAGGAAGCAGAAAAAUAACAAUUAGAAACUAUCAGAAGACUUUGACAAAGCUCUUUCAGUCUCUUGUUCUGGCCCUUUAAUGAUAGGAAUUCAUUUGUGAGAUACAUCCACAUUUCCUGCUUAAUUAUGUGACGAUUUUAAGGAACAAAUGUUUGGUGGUUCUUUUUACUUUGUGUUUGUUUGUGUGUCUGUUGUGCGCGUGUGGCUCUUAGCUGACAUUGUGAAUAGACAGGCGUGAAUCACCUGGAAUUUCCAGUUGAACAAAUAGUAGAGCCGUCGCAAAUUGUGAUUUCCUGAUCAAUCCGGUUUAUUUCCAAGUUUCAACAGGGAGACUGUUUUCUAAUUGACUGGUUGGGAGGUUGUUUACAAGGUUUCCACUGAACUUGUGACUUGAUUGGAUUAGAAACACGUGACUUUAAAACAAUAACAACACAGCAGCCUGAAACUCUCCUGAUUGGUGUUUCAUUCAUCCAUCAAGUCAUCAGAUUUCUAUGGUAAAACUACUGGACAGCCCACUCACUCAUUAACACCUGACAUUUCCAUGGAGUCCUGGGAUCCAUAUGAACUAUAACAAACGUCAUCCACAAUAUACAGGUAUGCCAUAUACUGUAAGAUAAGUGAGUCAUUAAAGGGUUAAGGAGAGUUUCAACAACUUCUUCCAUUGAACUGUCACUGUCUCUAAUCUAUAAGAGUUAUGGCUUCCACUGAAAUGAUUCUGUACAUAAUUACUACAAUAACCAGGCACGUACACAGAGAGGGUUCUACAAGUCCACAGAGAGGGUUCUACAAGUCCACAGAGAGUGUUCUACAAGUCCACAGAGAGGGUUCUACAAGUCCACAGAGAGGGUUCUACAAGUCCACAGAUAGUCUUCUACAAGUCCACAGAGAGGGUUCUACAAGUCCACAGAGAGGGUUCCACAAGUCCACAGAGAGGGUUCUACAAGCCCACAGAGAGGGUUCUACAAGUCCACAGAGAGGGUUCUACAAGUCCACAGAUAGUCUUCUACAAGUCCACAGACAGGGUUCUACAAGUCCACAGAAAGGAUUCUACAAGUCCACAGAGAGGGUUCUACAAAUGCUACCCCCUCUCUUGUGAAAAUACCCCCACAAAGAAGAUUGAUCCAUCAUAAACUGGACGUACACUGAGUGAACCAAACAUUAGGAACACCUUUUGUAAAAAGAAAAGAGCAGGUGUUCUUAAUGUUUUGUACACUCAGUGUGCGUACCCUUUGUAGACAUGAACACCUGCCCUGUAAAUGUCAAUACACGGCCCUGGCAAUUCUCCUGAAGGGACCUACUAUGCUAUAGAAGUGACCUAGAAGUGUUUAACUCGUUCCAUGGUACUUUCCUGCCUCACCAGAGAGUAGAGGAGGUGAGAGACCGCCCUUUCUGGGAAAAUAACACCAUUGAGUCUCCUCCUCCAAAGCUUAAAAUAAGAGCAGACACACUCUUCUCUCUCAAACACAAAGUUUAGUCGUCGGAUAGUUGGUCGCUGUGCUGAAAAUAUUCCAGAACCUGUAAGUAAAAUAUUGCCUCUCAUUGAUAAUGAUAAAAGUGAAAAGGUUUGUCUAUAUCUGAUAACUAUGGAUGUUAUAAAUGUGUGAUAUUUUUCAAGAUAUUUUUUUCUUCAUGUCUUUUCAGAAGAACCUGACAGCCUGUUGAUUUAAGAUAUGUUAUUACAUUAGAUAUGUUUGCAUAGUGCCAGUGAUGAAGUCAUCUAAUUUAAUUGAACAUCUUAAUGUCUUUUGCAGAUUCCUGACCUACGCUCCUAAGCACAGAUCUAGGAUCAGCUCAUCCUCAUCAAAUCCAAACCAGGACGUUUAGAAUUCACAAGGGGAACACUGACCUCAGACCAGCGUUUAAACCCCACGUCUUCCUGCCUAGACACUGACUCUCUGUCCAGAGUUCCUCUGUGCUCCAGCCGUAUAUCCAUCCAGCCAUGGGUCUGAUGAGCGAGGACAUGGAGUGCUGCGUCUGCCUCCAGCCCUACUCUCGCAGGGAGAAGAUCCCUCGGAUGCUCCACUGUAAGCACACAUUCUGUGGGCUGUGCUUGCAGGCGAUGUCCAGGCUCCAGAGCGGCCUACUGACAGUAUGCUGCCCCCUGUGCCGUUGGAUCACCUGCACCGAGCCCAGUCUCACCGUGCCGGGGUCGCUGUGGGUUAACACUGAGAUCUGGGACCAAAUACUAGACACACAACAGGAAGAAGAGGAGGAAGAGAGGAAGGAAGCUAACAGACAGACACAGACCACUACACAGAAAACAUGGUCUCCAUCAAAGCAUUGUGGCCUGAGGAUCAAACUACAGAAUUUCCUGAGGAGGAUGAAGCACAAUGUACUGUAAACCGAGAAGAAGAAGAGCAGAGAAGAAGAAGACUGUAUUUGACCAUUUCAGAGUAGGAGAUACUCAUUGAGUAAUGAAGAUAAUUCACCAAACAGGACCGACCGGUGAUUUUCCAUAAUGAAGCAAGAUUGAACCAAUUAUUAAUAUGCUUUGGGUUUGAUUGACUUUGGGUAUGUGUAAUGUUCUCAGUCAACUUACCUGGUAAAAUAAGGAUUAAAUAAUAAUAUUAAUAAUAAAGGAUGGAUUGGGGGAGGGAAUAAAAAAUAAGAUUUUAAAUGGAUUGAGGAUGAAAGAAAGAUCAAGGAAGUUAUGGAAGGAAGGAAGGAAAUAAGUUAUGGAAGGAAGGAAGUUAUGGAAGGAAGGAAGGAAGUUAUGGAAGGAAGUUAUGGAAGGAAGGAAGUAAGUUAUGGAAGGAAGGAAGUUAUGGAAGGAAGGAAGGAAGUAAGUUAUGGAAGGAAGGAAGUAAGUUAUGGAAGGAAGGAAGGAAGGACGGAAGGAAGUUAUGGAAGGAAGGAAGGAAGUUAUGGAAGGAAGGAAGGAAGUUAUGGAAGGAAGUUAUGGAAGGAAGGAAGUAAGUUAUGGAAGGAAGGAAGUUAUGGAAGGAAGGAAGGAAGUAAGUUAUGGAAGGAAGGAAGGAAGUAAGUUAUGGAAGGAAGGAAGGAAGGACGGAAGGAAGUUAUGGAAGGAAGGAAGGAAGUUAUGGAAGGAAGGAAGGAAGUUAUGGACAGACAGACAGACGGACAGACGGACAGACAGAUAGAUGGGUGAAGGUUAGAGACUGUAUGCUGUACAAUGUGUGCCGUUUACAAUACAAUAUACUGUGAACUAUAUUUAUAAUAGGUGUUUAAUGAUUUGAUAAAAGGUGUAUUACUGCGUGAAGAGAAGUAUAUGUUUAGUAUUUAUUGUUACAUCAUUUAGAACAGUUUCAUAUUGCAGAGUCUUGUUUUUAUCAAUGUAAUUGUCUGCAUCAUUUCCAAUCCCCCAUAUAAGGGAAGUGGGAUUUGUUCAUCCUCAUUUGACAUGUUUUAUUUAUCUGUUCUGUUUGAAGAACAUGUUUUUAUACUGGAAUUAUAUUUAUUGGUUAAUAAAUACAUCCACUUUAAAAUAA